rnacentral:sRNA from 1 species
GCUGGGGCACAGUGGUGCAUGCCUGUAAUCCCAGCAGCUCGGGAGGCUGAGGCAGGAGAAUUGCAAGUUCAAAGCCAGCCUCAGCAAUGGUGAGGUGCUGAGCAACUCAGUGAGACCCUGCUUCUA